ensembl:miRNA
AGGCACUGCGGCCCAGGGUCUGGUGCGGAGAGGGCCCACAGUGGACUUGGUGACGCUGUAUGCCCUCACCGCUCAGCCCCUGGGGCUGGCUUGGCAGACAGUACAGCAUCCAG